rnacentral:rRNA from 1 species
GCAAGUCGAACGGUAACAGGCAAAAGCUUGCUUUUGUGCUGACGAGUGGCGGACGGGUGAGUAACGCGUAGGAAUCUGCCUAGCAGCGGGGGACAACCUGGAGAAAUUCAGGCUAAUACCGCAUACGCCCUACGGGCGAAAGUGGGGGAUCUUCGGACCUCACACGGUUAGAUGAGCCUGCGUGAGAUUAGCUUGUUGGUGAGGUAAUGGCCUACCAAGGCGACGAUCUAUAACUGGUCUGAGAGGAUGACC